rnacentral:rRNA from 1 species
AGCGCAGGCGGUCUUUUAAGUCUGAUGUGAAAGCCUUCGGCUUAACCGGAGAAGUGCAUCGGAAACUGGGAGACUUGAGUGCAGAAGAGGACAGUGGAACUCCAUGUGUAGCGGUGAAAUGCGUAGAUAUAUGGAAGAACACCAGUGGCGAAGGCGGCUGUCUGGUCUGUAACUGACGCUGAGGCUCAAAGCAUGGGUAGCGAACA